CGUGGGUGCCGUCUUGAGGCGCGUCGUGACUCGCCGAUGCGGCGGCAACAAACACGAUCAGCAGAACGCAAACACUGAGCCGUGGAGGGAACGACCCCAGCGGUUGACAUGACAGAGCCAUCACUGAGGAGGCGUUGGCAGUUUGAGAUGAGCUGAAGGCGGAUGGACGGUACCUGGAGCAGGCGGGAGUACCCCGGGGUCAGCCUGCUCAGCCUGAUGAUCAUGCCUGCCAAGGAUGGAUCUCUCGGGGGUCAGCAGGCAACGUCCUCUCACUGCUGGAGGAGGAGACAAAAGGGACUUCACACGCCUGGGACUUCAGCUUAUGGUCUCACAAGGCUUCACACAAUGGAGGAACAAGACUUAUACGAAAAUGAUAGUGCGGGAGAUAUUCAGAUGAAAAAACACAAUUUUUUUUGUAAUUACCACAUGGCUAUUUACACAUAAGCUAGUGACAAAUAUUAGCAUUCUUAUCAAAAUCUCGAUACUAAAACAUAGUUGGUAAAUACAGAGUUUCUAGGAAAAGAGUUUCUUACCAUUGCACAAAUAUGGAUAAAAAAUAAAUUUGAUGAUGUUAAAUACAAAGUUUCUGGGAAAAAAAGUUUCUUGGCAGUGCACAAAUAUAAAUAAAAAACACAUUUGAUAUAUAAUCCACAAA